rnacentral:tRNA from 1 species
GGGGUUGUAAUUUAAUUGGUAAAAUAUGAGGCUACGGACCUCGCGAACGUAGUUCAAAUCUACGCAGCCUUA